rnacentral:rRNA from 1 species
GACGUAGGGGGCAAGCGUUGUCCGGAAUUACUGGGCGUAAAGGGCGUGUAGGCGGUCGCACACGUAGCGGUUUUCAGCCGCCGGCUCACCCGGCGGAGGGCGGCUAAGCGGUGGGACUUGAGGGCAGGAGAGGUGCACGGAAUUCCUGGUGGAGAGGUGAAAUGCGUAGAGAUCAGGAAGAACACCAGUGGCGAAGGCGGUGCACUGGCCUGGCCCUGACGCUGAGGCGCGACAGCGUGGGGAGCAAACGGG